rnacentral:rRNA from 1 species
UCAGACGAUGCGUCAUGCAUAUCAAUAAGCGGAGGAAAAGAAACUAACAAGGAUUCCCUUAGUAACGGCGAGUGAAGCGGGAAGAGCUCAAAUUUGAAAUCUUCAAGGUUUUACCUUGACGAAUUGUAGUUUAAAGAAGUGUUUUCUGCUGAAGUUUUGGUAAAAGUUCUUUGGAAUAGGACAUCAUAGAGGGUGAGAAUCCCGUAUUUGACCAUUAUUUUCAGCUUUGUGAUACACUUUCAAGGAGUCGGAUUGUUUGGGAAUGCAGUCCAAAAUGGGUGGUAAAUUUCAUCCUAAAGCUAAAUAUUGGCGAGAGACCGAUAGCGAACAAGUACCGUGAGGGAAAGAUGAAAAGAACUUUGAAAAGAGAGUUAAACAGUACGUGAAAUUGUCAAAAGGGAAGCGUUUGACACCAGUGUUGUUUUCUCGAAAAUCAAUUAAAAAUGGCUCGAUUUUGUAUUGUUGAGACCUUAAAAGCUCACUGUACAUUUUUCGUGUCUUUUUUAAUGCACUUUUCGUUUAACAAGUCAACAUCAGUUUCUUUUGUUGUAAAAGGGUCAUUGGAAGGUGGCUUUCUUUUCGGAGAAAGUGUUUAUAGCCUUUGGCCUCUGCAAUCGGAGAGACUGAGGUCUGCAGCGUAGACUCUUCGGGGUUAGAUACAUUUGUGCUAAGUUAUAGCUUUUUAUAGACAACUUGUUGACUAUAAUUAGUCUUGUAGCUUACUCGCUUAUGCUAUUUUACCUACGCUUAGGAUGUUGAACUACUGAGACAUAGA